rnacentral:rRNA from 1 species
AAGGCUUGACAUGCACUAGACGAUUGCAGAGAUGUGGUUUUCUUUUUGACUGGUGUACAGGUGGUGCAUGGUUGUCGUCAGCUCGUGUCGUGAGAUGUUGGGUUAAGUCCCGCAACGAGCGCAACCCUCGUUCUAUGUUGCCAGCACGUGAUGGUGGGAACUCAUGGGAGACUGCCGGGGUCAACUCGGAGGAAGGUGGGGAUGACGUCAAAUCAUCAUGCCCUUUA